rnacentral:rRNA from 1 species
GACGAACGCUGGCGGCGUGCUUAACACAUGCAAGUCGAACGGUGAAGCGCCUUCCUUUUUGGUGGGUGUGGAUGAGUGGCGAACGGGUGAGUAACACGUGAGUAACCUGCCCCCUUCUUCUGGAUAACCGCAUGAAAGUGUGGCUAAUACGGGAUAUUCUGGGUCUGUCGCAUGAUGGGUCUGGGAAAGAUAUUGUUUCGGUGGGGGAUGGGCUCGCGGCCUAUCAGCUUGUUGGUGGGGUGAUGGCCUACCAAGGCGGUGACGGGUAGCCGGCCUGGGAGGGUGGACGGUCACACUGGGACUGAGACACGGCCCAGACUGCUACGGGAGGCAGCAGUGGGGAAGAUUGCACAAUGGGCGCAAGCCUGAUGCAGCGACGCCGCGUGAGGGAUGGAGGCCUUCGGGUUGUGAACCUCUUUCGCCAGUGAAGCAGGCCUGCCUCGUUUGUGGGUGGGUUGACGGUAGCUGGAUAAGAAGCGCCGGCUAACUACGUG